AUUGAACGCUGGCGGCAGGCCUAACACAUGCAAGUCGGACGAGUGGCGGACGGGUGAGUAAUGUCUGGGAAACUGCCUGAUGGAGGGGGAUAACUACUGGAAACGGUCGCUAAUACCGCAUACCAUCGGAUGUGCCUAGGUGGGAUUAGCUAGUUGGUGGGGUAAAGGCUCACCUAGGCGACGAUCCCUAGCUGGUCUGAGAGGAUGACCAGGCAAACUGGAACUGAGACACGGUCCAGACUCCUACGGGAGGCAGCAGUGGGGAAUAUUGCACAAUGGGCGCAAGCCUGAUCCAGCCAUGCCGCGUGUGUGAAGAAGGCCUUCGGGUUGUAAAGUACUUUAAGCGGGGAGGCGUUACCAGCAGAAGAAGCACCGGCUAACUCCGUGCCAGCCGCCGCGGUAAUAC
rnacentral:rRNA from 1 species